rnacentral:rRNA from 1 species
CCUACGGGUGGCAGCAGUGGGGGAUAUUGCACAAUGGGGGAAACCCUGAUGCAGCGACGCCGCGUGUGGGAAGACGGUCCUCUGGAUUGUCAACCACUGUCCCCAGGGACGAAGCUGACGGUACCUGGGGAGGCCGCUCCGGCUACCUACAUGCCAGCAGCCGCGGUACUACGUAGGGAGCAAGCGUUGUCCGGAAUUACUGGGUGUAAAGGGAGCGUAGGCGGGAUGGCAAGUUGGGUGGUAAAUCUACCGGCUCAACUGGUAGUCGCACUCAAAACUGCUAUUCUUGAGUGAAGUAGAGGCAGGCGGAAUUCCUAGUGUAGCGGUGAAAUGCGUAGAUAUUAGGAGGAACACCAGUGGCGAAGGCGGCCUGCUGGGCUUUGACUGACGCUGAGGCUCGAAAGUGUGGGGAGCAAACAGGAGUAGAUACCCUUGUAGUC